GAUGAAGAACGUAGCGAAAUGCGAUAAGUAGUGUGAAUUGCAGAAUUCAGUGAAUCAUCGAAUCUUUGAACGCACAUUGCGCCCCUUGGUAUCCCGAGGGGCAUGCCUGUUCGAGCGUCAUUUCACCACUCAAGCCUGGCUUGGUGUUGCGACGUCCCCUUUGGGGACGCGCCUCGAAACGCUCGGCGGCGUGGCACCGGCUUUAAGCGUAGCAGAAUCUUUCGCUUUGGAAGUCGGGGCCCCGUCUGCCGGAAGACCUACUCGCAAGGUUGACCUCGGAUCAGGCAGGGAUACCCGCUGAACUUAAGCAUAUCAAUAAGCGGAGGA
rnacentral:misc_RNA from 1 species